rnacentral:rRNA from 1 species
GACUACAGGGGUAUCUAAUCCUGUUUGCUCCCCACGCUUUCGCGUCUCAGCGUCAGUUGCAGGCCAGUCACCCGCCUUCGCCACAGGUGUUCCCCCCGAUAUCUACACAUUUCACCGUUACACCGGGGAUUCCAGUGACCCCUCCUGCACUCCAGUCAGGCAGUUUCCAGCGCAGUGCCACGGUUGAGCCGUAGCAUUUCACACCAGACUUACCCAACAGCCUACACGCCCUUUACGCCCAGUAAUUCCGGACAACGCUCGCCCCCUACGUAUUACCGCGGCUGCUGGCACGUAGUUAGCCGGGGCUUAUUCGCUUAGUACCAUCAAAUCCACGUGGUAUGAGCACGCGGACCUUUUUCCCAAACAAAAGAGGUUUACAACCCGAAAGCCUUCAUCCCUCACGCGGCGUCGCUCCGUCAGGCUUGCGCCCAUUGCGGAAAAUUCCUCACUGCAGCCCCCCGUAGG